rnacentral:rRNA from 1 species
UACGAAGGGGGCUAGCGUUGCUCGGAAUUACUGGGCGUAAAGGGCGCGUAGGCGGCACUGUUAGUCAGGCGUGAAAUUCCUGGGCUCAACCUGGGGACUGCGCUUGAUACGGCAGAGCUUGAGGAUGGAAGAGGGUCGCGGAAUUCCCAGUGUAGAGGUGAAAUUCGUAGAUAUUGGGAAGAACACCAGUGGCGAAGGCGGCUCACUGGCCCGGUACUGACGCUGAGGUGCGAAAGCGUGGGGAGCAAACAGG